GUUUUCCAGUAUCAAUUUCAUAGCACUAGAAGUUUCCAUCUCUUGCAUAUGAAAUUGUCUUAAGAUAUCUAAGUGAAGAUUCCUCAUAUCCUCGUGAAUGGAUUUUUGAAGGGAAGAAAGAGUUUCUUCUUGUGUACGUUGGAACAGCUGGAGUGUAAAGGAACUUCCCUGCUGCAAUUCAGGCAGUGUGGACUUUUGAGAUUGCUUAAUUUCACCAUUUAUUGCUUGGAAAGCACCAGCUGCUGUAGCAGACGACGUGUCCGACCUAGAUAACAAGCUAUUCAGAAGCUCUUCCCUUGUUUCAGCUCCAGUUUUCUUAGUUUUUGGAGAACCAACAGAAAGGGUUCCAUCACUGAAGGAUGGUGUAGUGCUUAUUCUCUCAGCAUAACUGGAAAAUCUUCGUGGGAGGGAUACAGUUGAACCAAGAGUAUCAAGAGUACCCUGCCCAGUAAUGCCUUUUGUUCCAACUGAAAAGGAUGUGGAACUCGCAUGUUCUGAAGAUCCUAGAAUAGUUUCUUCAUUUGGAUUUUCUUUUAUGCGCAAAUUAGC
rnacentral:misc_RNA from 1 species